UUCAACUACUGUGCAUCAACAGCCUGCCAUCUACCACCCCCUCAUGAACCUCCAGGGCAAGCUCAGUCAUCUCAGAGGAAGCAAGGUGCCCCAGGUAACACAGACGGCUCACAGCGAGGACCCACAUGAGGUGUUAUUGAGCAAGACAGGAAGGCAGCUUUCUGGAUAAUCGAACGUGCUAGUGAACAGAGUGUUGCCAGAGAUACUCCAGGUGUACACUCAGAUGUAUACGUCAUAUGCUCCCUGAGUGAUUACGUGUUCCAGGCUCUGAGGGUAGGAAAAUGAAGACAACAGUCUCUGUCUCAGGGAAGCUCCAGGUCCACAGGGGAAAAUGGAAGUCAACGCCAAGUGGUACUGCAGAGUGGCAAACAACACAGCACAAAGUGCUCCAGAAACACUCAUCAGGGGUCAGCCAUAUGCUGGAAGGCAGGCAAUGGCCCA
rnacentral:lncRNA from 10 species